rnacentral:lncRNA from 1 species
AUGUGCUCAGACAGAACUUCCCAGUCUAGACAUCAUCAGUGGUUUCCUUCACUUCUCCUCCCUCCUCUUCACUCCCUCACUCCCUUUUUAACCUCCACCACAGGUCGUCUUCAGUCAGUCUGCAGUCUGUCUCUUAACUGCUCACCAUUCAGCUGCCGUCCUCUCCAUCUACAGUCAUGUUCUGCAGGUGGACAGCCCCGUCCGUCUUCAUCGUUCUCUUCCUCAGAGUUCAGAGCAUCGACUCGUCUCUUGCUCCGGACAACUCUCUGGAGACUUUCGAUCUUCCUGAAAUCGACGGUUCUGCUGUGGACUGCUGUAGGAUUUUCCCUCUCCCCACACCCCAAACCACCACGACAGCAACUCCAACAACAACUCCAACUACAACCACAACCACACCCACUACCAGGAAGGUAAUUACAUUAUGAAGGAUGAGCUUCAGCUUCACUUUGUCCUGUAAACAUCCAGAUUGUAGCCUCAUAGAACCUGCAGUUUUAGAAAACAUAAAAACUCCUCCAAAGUCCUGAUUUUAUUUAAAUAAAAUUUAUGUUACUUUCAACCUCAUUGUGAUUAAAUGUUUUUGAAAUGCAUUUCUGUGCCCAAAUGAACUGGCCCUCUUUAACCUCCCUGUGUUAUAUAAAAUUUUUUAUCAGGUGACCACGACCACAAAGCCAGCCACCCGACCACCACCGAAGAUCGACCACGCCAGUAUCAACAUCCUCCUGCAAUACCUCCUGGCCAACAGCAGACGCCACACAGGUGGUUCUCUACCCAGGGUUAUCUCUCAGCCUCGCAGGGUUCAAAGUUCAUCUGAAAGCAAUGAAGCAGCCAGAAGGCGGCAUAGAAUAGUUGGUCGGAGGAAUACAGGUUCGUCAUCUUCAGACUCAAGUGACGAGUCUUAAUGGCAUUUUUAAAUUCUAGUUGUUAAACAAAGCUAAGAAAAUUUGCUUCCUGAAAGGGUUUUUCUUCGAAAACUUUACGAAUCCCAAGACAACCAUGAAAUUUGUCAGCCAAAAAAAUGUUGUAGCUUCCGAUAUCAUUGUAAUAUUGUAUAUGUUGUUAUUGAAUAUUGUGCACUAAAGUAUUAAGAUGUGUGAAUGUUGAUUUACUGCUGCUGCUGUCACUAAUCAAGAUCAACACUUUAAAAAAGCUUCUUUAUUUAUAUUACAUGUAAGACAAUUGCAGUAACACAGUUUGUUGAACCAUUAUUUAAAAUGUAUUCAUAUGUUAAUGACCUGUUUUAAAAAGAUGUAAUAUAAAUAAUAAAAACAAACCUGGAAUUGUUGAUUAACUGUGGUUUAUACAUUUUUUAGACAUUUUCCAUCUCUGUUUUGACUAAAGAUGUUCAUAGAUCAUCAUUUCAUUCUUGUAUUUACAUCAUAAUUGUGUUUAAUACUUGAAUGCAACACAUGUCUUUGAUUUCAGGACUGACGUCAGCAACACUGACAUGUCAAUAUAACCAGUUUGUUUAUAGCACUGUCUUUUGUUCAUUCUGGAUUCAUCUGCUGAUUAUUAGUUUCCAUUAAUCGAACGUUUGGAUUGUAAAAAAGCAGAGAAUCCAAUUUGUAAAGUUAGAACCAUAAAAUGUUUUUGUUAUGUUAGUGUGAUAACAAUAGUACCAAUAGAAGAAAGGAGUCUGAAAUGGGUUUUUUCUUAGGGUGAGUGUGAAUCAGUACUGUUGUACCCGUGCUGCUGUGGUUCUGAUGGACGAACAGACGGAGCCAAAUGGUUUUCUUUCCUUUGAUCCUUGGAAGUUCCUUUGUCAUGUUUACCUGAGAAAACAAUUAUCACUUUAUUUUAGUUUUCCACCAGUUAGAUUAAUAAGUCAGAUAUCAAUAAAUAUUAAGUGCA